GGGCCCGAAGUUUACCCGGUUUGAACGCGUCAUUUGCAAUGACGAGGUAGGGAGUUCGACUCUCCCCGGGUCCA
rnacentral:tRNA from 1 species